rnacentral:rRNA from 1 species
UACAGAGGGUGCAAGCGUUAAUCGGAAUUACUGGGCGUAAAGCGUGCGUAGACGGUUACAUAAGUCGGGUGUGAAAGCCCCGGGCUCAACCUGGGAAUUGUCAUUCGAGACUGCGUAGCUAGGGUGCGGAAGAGGGAAGCGGAAUUUCCGGUGUAGCGGUGAAAUGCGUAGAUAUCGGAAGGAACACCAGUGGCGAAAGCGGCUUCCUGGUCCAGCACCGACGUUCAGGCACGAAAGCGUGGGGAGCAAAC